UAGGGAAUCUUCCACAAUGGACGCAAGUCUGAUGGAGCAACGCCGCGUGAGUGAAGAAGGUUUUCGGAUCGUAAAGCUCUGUUGUUGGUGAAGAAGGAUAGAGGCAGUAACUGGUCUUUAUUUGACGGUAAUCAACCAGAAAGUCACGGCUAACUACGUGCCAGCAGCCGCGGUAAUACGUAGGUGGCAAGCGUUGUCCGGAUUUAUCGGGCGUAAAGCGAGCGCAGGCGGAAUGAUAAGUCUGAUGUGAAAGCCCACGGCUCAACCGUGGAACUGCAUCGGAAACUGUCAUUCUUGAGUGCAGAAGAGGAGAGUGGAAUUCCAUGUGUAGCGGUGGAAUGCGUAGAUAUAUGGAAGAACACCAGUGGCGAAGGCGGCUCUCUGGUCUGCAACUGACGCUGAGGCUCGAAAGCAUGGGUAGCGAACAGG
rnacentral:rRNA from 1 species